rnacentral:rRNA from 1 species
UACGUAGGGCGCAAGCGUUGUCCGGAAUCAUUGGGCGUAAAGCGCUCGUAGGCGGCCUGUCGCGUCCGCUGUGAAAUCCCGGGGCUUAACCCCGGGCGUGCAGUGGAUACGGGCUGGCUGGAGGCAGGCAGGGGAGAACGGAAUUCCCGGUGUAGCGGUGAAAUGCGCAGAUAUCGGGAGGAACACCGGUGGCGAAGGCGGUUCUCUGGGCCUGUACUGACGCUGAGGAGCGAAAGCGUGGGGAGCGAACAGG